CGACAGCUCAGAUGAGGUAGGGUACUGGCAACAGUGCUCUGCUGAAAUAUUUUCACCCAUGUCUUUUGCGCACUUUUUGUUUCCUGGGCGAGUUUGCUCGCCACCAGGACCCCCAUAUGAACCUUUUUUGUUUUUGCACUCAGCGUCAGUACAAUAAUUUAAUCUAUUAAAACUUUCAACAACGGAUCUCUUGGUUCUGGCAUCGAUGAAGAACGCAGCGAAAUGCGAUACGUAGUGUGAAUUGCAGAAUUCAGUGAAUCAUCGAACCUUUGAACGCACAUUGCGCCCUUUGGUAUUCCAAAGGGCAUGCCUGUUCGAGCGUCAUUUGUACCCUCAAGCUUUGCUUGGUGUUGGGCGUCUUAUUGUCUCUCCGUCUCGGGGAGACUCGCCUUAAAACAAUUGGCAGCCGGCCUACUGGUUUCGGAGCGCAGCACAAAUUUGCGCUUGCAAUCAGCCAAGGGCGGCAUCCAUGAAGCCUUUUUUCUCUCACAUUUUGACCUCGGAUCAGGUAGGGAUACCCGCUGAACUUAAGCAUAUCAAAAAGUCGGAGAAAAUAGUU
rnacentral:rRNA from 1 species